GUGCUCGCUCCGGCAGCACAUAUACUAAAACUGGAACAACACAGAGAAGAUUAGCAUGGCCCCUGCGCAAGUAUAACAUGCAAAUUUGUGAAGCAUUCUAUUUUUUU